UAUAGCAGCUUUAUUAAUAUUGUAAUAACGAGGUCAUUUAGUAUAUUAUAGCACGGAUUAAUAUUACAUUAUAUUAAUAUAUUGUAAUAUAAAUCCGUGAUGUCAGCUAUUCUUAUACAAGUAACGAACGGCAGUCAAAUUGUUCAAAAUAAAAGGAGAUACAGGAUCAAUGUAUUGAGCAUAAACAAUAUUAAGGUACCUGACGGUAACGGAAAUCAGACGAUACUGCAGAUGUCGUUAUGUAACCUGCGCAAAAAGUAUGAUGCAGAAGCUGACGUUGACUUUGUAGCACCGACCUGCUAAUUCAAAUGUCUCUAUCUUUUAUUACAAUAUAGUCAACCCUGUGUUAAAGACCACUUCAGAAAAAUCCGCACAAAAUACUGUCUAUACAAGUCAUGUCUUAAAAUUAGUUUUUAUUUGCGUGUUUGACUGUCUUAAUACAUAUCAAUAUUAUGAGACUGAUUAGCCAAAUAAUUUUUACAAGCUUAAUUUUUAGAGACCAUCAGAAAUAAAAGAAAAUAGUGAUAAAGAUACUAUAAAGAAAUCUACUGACACAUUAUUUUAAAAAUGAAGUGUUCAAUAGAUUGCUUUUUCUUA